GAGAGAGAGAAGAAGGGACGGAAGAGCUGCGACGUCUCUCUUCGGACGCUAUUUUCCUUCGUGUUCUUUCUUUCUUUUUUUGUUUUUUUUCCGGCUUCGUAAGGGAGCCAC
rnacentral:ribozyme from 1 species